CGGUAGCACAGAGAGCUUGCUCUCGGGUGACGAGCGGCGGACGGGUGAGUAAUGUCUGGGAAACUGCCUGAUGGAGGGGGAUAACUACUGGAAACGGUAGCUAAUACCGCAUAAUGUCGCAAGACCAAAGUGGGGGACCUUCGGGCCUCAUGCCAUCAGAUGUGCCCAGAUGGGAUUAGCUAGUAGGUGGGGUAACGGCUCACCUAGGCGACGAUCCCUAGCUGGUCUGAGAGGAUGACCAGCCACACUGGAACUGAGACACGGUCCAGACUCCUACGGGAGGCAGCAGUGGGGAAUAUUGCACAAUGGGCGCAAGCCUGAUGCAGCCAUGCCGCGUGUGUGAAGAAGGCCUUCGGGUUGUAAAGCACUUUCAGCGGGGAGGAAGGCGGUGAGGUUAAUAACCUCAUCGAUUGACGUUACCCGCAGAAGAAGCACCGGCUAACUCCGUGCCAGCAGCCGCGGUAAUACGGAGGGUGCAAGCGUUAAUCGGAAUUACUGGGCGUAAAGCGCACGCAGGCGGUCUGUCAAGUCGGAUGUGAAAUCCCCGGGCUCAACCUGGGAACUGCAUUCGAAACUGGCAGGCUAGAGUCUUGUAGAGGGGGGUAGAAUUCCAGGUGUAGCGGUGAAAUGCGUAGAGAUCUGGAGGAAUACCGGUGGCGAAGGCGGCCCCCUGGACAAAGACUGACGCUCAGGUGCGAAAGCGUGGGGAGCAAACAGGAUUAGAUACCCUGGUAGUCCACGCCGUAAACGAUGUCGAUUUGGAGGUUGUGCCCUUGAGGCGUGGCUUCCGGAGCUAACGCGUUAAAUCGACCGCCUGGGGAGUACGGCCGCAAGGUUAAAACUCAAAUGAAUUGACGGGGGCCCGCACAAGCGGUGGAGCAUGUGGUUUAAUUCGAUGCAACGCGAAGAACCUUACCUGGUCUUGACAUCCACAGAACUUUCCAGAGAUGGAUUGGUGCCUUCGGGAACUGUGAGACAGGUGCUGCAUGGCUGUCGUCAGCUCGUGUUGUGAAAUGUUGGGUUAAGUCCCGCAACGAGCGCAACCCUUAUCCUUUGUUGCC
rnacentral:rRNA from 1 species